AUAUGCUAAAUACAAACACUUUUCCAUUGGUGACUCAUCAAGUGAAUACAAAUUGACAGUCAGCGGUUACAGUGGAAACGCAGGUGACAACUUGACCUAUCAUAAUAACAUAAGGUUCAGUACAACGGAUAAUGACAAUGACACGAUUGGAAGUCAAAACUGUGCAGCCACAUAUACAGGAGGUUGGUGGUUUGGUUCCUGUGUUAUUUCUCACCUUAAUGGUCUGUUUAAAGGAAAGGGAGCACAAGGGAUAUCUUGGUACUACUGGAGGAAAUCACAUGACACGCUUCAGACAUCAACAAUGAUGAUACGAAAGAGAAAGUUGUAGAAUUACCUUGCAAUAAAUGAAUAUUUCAUCUUUUUA